rnacentral:rRNA from 1 species
AGUGAACGCUGGCGGUAGGCCUAACACACGCAAGUCGAACGGCAGCACAGGAGAGCUUGCUCUCUGGGUGGCGAGUGGCGGACGGGUGAGGAAUACAUCGGAAUCUACUCUGUCGUGGGGGAUAACGUAGGGAAACUUACGCUAAUACCGCAUACGACCUACGGGUGAAAGCAGGGGAUCUUCGGACCUUGCGCGAUUGAAUGAGCCGAUGUUGGAUUAGCUAGUUGGCGGGGUAAAGGCCCACCAAGGCGACGAUCCGUAGCUGGUCUGAGAGGAUGAUCAGCCACACUGGAACUGAGACACGGUCCAGACGCCUACGGGAGGCAGCAGUGGGGAAGAUUGGACAAUGGGCGCAAGCCUGAUCCAGCCAUACCGCGUGGGUGAAGAAGGCCUUCGGGUUGUAAAGCCCUUUUGUUGGGAAAGAAAUCCAGCUGGCUAAUACCCGGUUGGGAUGACGGUACCCAAAGAAUAAGCACCGGCUAACUUCGUGCCAGCCGCCGCAGUAA